rnacentral:rRNA from 1 species
UACAGAGGUCUCAAGCGUUGUUCGGAAUCACUGGGCGUAAAGGGUGCGUAGGCCGCACGGUAAGUCAGAUGUGAAAUCUCAGGGCUCAACUCUGAAAUUGCAUCCGACACUGCCGUGCUUGAGGACUGGAGAGGAGUCUGGAAUUCAUGGUGGAGCAGUGAAAUGCGUAGAUAUCAUGAGGAACGCUAGUGGCGUAGGCGAGACUCUGGACAGUUCCUGACGCUGAGGCACGAAGGCCAGGGGAGCAAACGGG